AUGGUGAACGUUCUUAAAACCCGCCGGACUUUUCGGCAAGAAGUGUGGCAAGCACCAGCCCUACAAAGUGACACAGUACAAGAAGGGCAAAGAUUCUCUUUAUGCCCAGGGAAAGCAGCGUUAUGACAGGAAGCAGAGUGGCUAUGGUGGGCAGACUAAGCCGAUUUUCUGGAAAAAGGCUACAACUACAAAUAAGAUUGUGCUGAGGCUUGAAUGUGUUGAGCCCAAUUGCAGAUCUAAGAGAAUGCUGGCUAUUAAGAGAUGCAAGCAUUUUGAACUGGGAGGAGAUAAGAAGAGAAAGGGCCAAGUGAUCCAGUUCUAAGCUUCAUAUUUUGUUAUUAUUAUGAAGACAAUAAAAUCUUGAGGUUAUGUUCACUUCAUUUGGUUGCAGUUGGUCUUUUAAGAGGGAAAUAAACUAGUGCCAUCAAUAAAAUUCCCCUUGUGGGGC